rnacentral:lncRNA from 10 species
GGAAAUCUUAGAGAUUCCAAGCCUGAGAAGGACUCAACCCACAAUUACUGGCUUUGAGGAUGGAGCAAGGGGGCAAUGAGCCAAGGAAUACAGAUACCUUGACUAUGAAUAAUAGUUUCAAUAAGGAAGACAGAAUGAGUUCUGACACGAUGGUUGGGAGCUGUGACAGGCAGACGAAAAAUGGAGCCAAAUGGCAUGGAGGUGUGUCAUCACUGCUGGAUUUUACCUUGAUCUACAUUCAGUUAUCUACUUCUUUUCAAAAUGCUGGGCAUUCAUUCAAGAAACAGCAUAUAUGUUCUGACUUUGAAGUAAUGGAUGAACUGUCAUGUGCAGUAUAUGGAAAUAAGUUUUAUUACCUUCUUCCCACAUUAACUCAUCCAUCCAUUCAAUAGCCAUUUAUUGAGAAGCUCACUCUGUGUUAGGCACAGUGGUGUCAUGAUGUUGGAACAGUAACAAUAACUCAACCAACCAGGGCUUGUCUGAAUACAAUCCUACAGCAGCAGGAGCUGUGGAGAUAUAGAAGGCAAGGAAGACCAGGUUGUGAGGGAAGACGAAUUUACUCCCAGGAAUGUUGGGAUUGAGAGUAAUAUUCUCCAAUAAUGGUGGAAGACAGAACAAUAAAAGCCCACCAGCUCCUUCUGCAUGGUGGGAUAAGAGAAAAGCCAAGGGCAGAAGUGAGAAAAAUAACCAUCACCAAACUGAAAAGAAAACCUUUAUAAAAAAACUGGAUUGAUAAAUGACCUUUAGUAGUGGAAAGAUACCAUUCCAAUGAAGCAUGAAUUGAAAGGAUUUCUUCUGAAAGCUAAUUUACAUUUUUCUUUUUUUUUUUUUCAUUUUCAGUGUGUUUUAGCAGGUGUAUUGUUCUACAUGGUUAGUUUCUUUACCUCUUUGAGAAAAAUGGGUCAGCUUGACACAUCUGGAUGAAAGAAUCCGUUAGGUGAUUAUGAUUGAAGACAGAUUAAGCCUUGUUAUGAGGGGAAUAUUUGGGGGCUUACCCUGAGGUGAUAUUUGAUGAUUUAGCUGUGGGAGAAUUUCCCUCCCAAGAUCAGCGUGACUGACACUGAAAUUGCUACAGGGGAACCGGACCUUUCCAAGAGGUGACAAGGACAUUUACCUGGUACAACACAAUGGUUCUGGACUGGAAGUCUAGUCCCAUUGAUGAAGUUCCCAAAAGAUGUCCAGGUCCUAAUCCCUGGAAUCUGUGAAUAUGUCAUCUUACACAUCAAAAGAACUUUGAAAAUGUGAUUGAGGUUAAGGACCUUGGAAUGAGGAGAUUACCUUGGAUUAUCUGGUUGGGUCCAAGCUAAUCACAUGAGUCCUUAAAGGAGAAGAACCUUUUUUAGCUGGGUCAGAGAGAGAUGUGAUGAUGAAAACAGGCUCAGGGAGAUGCACUGUAAGAAGGGCUUGACCAGUUGUUUUUGACUUUGAAGAUGGAGGGAAGGGCCAGGAGCCAAGGAAGGUGGGUGGCUUUUGGAAGGUGGAAAAAGCAAGGGAACAUUCUCUCCAGAGCCUCCAGAAAGGAGCUCAGCCCUGUUGACAUCUUUGUUUUUAUUUUUUAUUUUUAGUAGCAUUGAGGUCUCACUAUGUUGCACAGGCUGGUCUUGAACUCUUGAGCUCAAGCACUCCUCCCGCCUUGGCUUCCCAAAGUGCUGGGAUUAUAGGCAUGUGCCACCACAUCUGGCUUCCUACUGACAUCUUAACUUUAGUGCAGUGAGACUCAUAUUUGAAUUUCUGACCUUAUAUUAUAGAACCAUAAGACAUUAUAGAAUUAUAUAGAAUUAUAGAACCAUAAGACAAUAACUUUGUGUUGUUUUAAGAUACUAAAUUUUUGGUAAUUUGUUAUGGCAGCACAAUAAAACCAAUAUAGCAUUAUAUUAUGCCAAUAUCAUCUCUUUGUUGACUAUUGCUAUUAUAGUUUGUUUUAUGGGUCUUGUGUAAACAAUCAAGCUAUAAUAUUGGGUUAACUCCCUAAGGAAAACUUGGAAUAUAGAACAUUAUUUUAAAGACUGAAUUAGGUAAAUACACCUGCCAGUGAAUACAUUAACAAAUUAAUUAAUAUAUUCACUCUUUUCACUCACAAAUACUUUUUGAGCCCCUAUUACUAGCCAAACAUUUUGUUAGAUUCUGAGAAGGGUCUGCUAGACAACAUUGUGACUAUAGUUAAUAACAAUAUAUUGUACUCUUGAAAAUUACUAAGAGAGUAGAUUUUAAGUGUUCUCACCACAAAAAAUAAGUAUGUGAGGUAAUGCAGAUGUUAGUUAGCUUGAUUUAGCCAUUCCCCAGUGUAUACAUAUUUCAAACCUUCAUAUUAUACAUGGAUAAAUAUAUACAAUUUUUAUUUGUCAAUUAAAAGCCCCUCGAUGAAUACAGUUUCCAUUCUGUCCUUGAGGUGGAGCUUGUAGACUUGGUGGGGUCCGGGGAUCAACUUUUAAACAGGCAGUUCCAAAGUGUGGAGUGGAUAGGCUUAUUCUCUUUGUUGCUUUUAUGAUAGGUAUUUAGAAUGCACUUUCCUCUGUUAAGUUAAGCCAGCCACCAUUCCCUCAUUCAGUUUCCAUCCUCCAUGAAUUUGCUCACAUCUGCGGUCUACUGUCACUCAUUCUUUCCUUCUCUUCCUGAGGGCUUGUGUGACUUAUGUUCUUGGCUUUCUCUUAGGAACAUGGUGCAGCUUGGCCCUGCAUUAUCCAUCUGGAAAAACAGAUCAUAAAACAGUCCUUCUCUGUACUAAGUGCUAAAGUAGGAGGAAGGGCAUAAGUCAGCUCCCUGAGCUAUAUAUCCUUGUUUUCAGGAGCUGAGCUAGACACAAGCAGAACUUGCAAAUAAUUUACAUUUCUUUCUGCUGAGGUGGUUCAGAAUAAGUUGCAACAAACAUGAACAGGAAUGGUGCAGUAAAU